rnacentral:lncRNA from 1 species
AGGUUGAUAUGGGUGGUUCUGCUCCUCUACUCUGUUCUUGUGAGAUCCCACCUUGAGUACUGCAUACAGUUCUGGGGCUGUCAACACAAGAAGGACAUGGAGUUGUAGGGGCAGGCCCAGAUGAGGGUCACAAAGAUGAUCCUACUAGUACAGUCUGAGAGAACUGGAGCUCUUCAUGCUGGAGAAAACUCCAAGGAGACCUCAUAGUGGCCUUCCAGUAUCUGAAAUGGAGGCCUACAAGAAAGCUGGGAUUGGACUUUUUAUAGGGGCAGAUAGCAAGGAUGAAGGGAAACGGUUUUGAACUGGAAGAGAGCAGGUUUAGACGAGCUAUCAGGAAGAAAUUCUUCAUUGUGAGGGUGGUGAGAUACUGGAACAGGCUGCCCAGUGAGGUUGUUAAAUGCACCCCCUUCCCUGUGGCUUCUGUUUCUUUGGUUCAAAAGUCAAAAGGAUUCACAUUCAUGUACCCCAGGAGGGAGAGUUGUAUUUUCUGAAAAUUUGGAUCCACAUCUACUGUAAACUCUCAGAGUGUAACCAAAUUCCAUAGAUGCCAGUGAUAUACUUCAGUCUAUCCAGAGCUAUCUUUGCUGAAAAGCAAAUCACAUUUGUACCAAGAGGAGAAAAAAAGGGACAGAAGUCUCAUGUGGUAUUAAUAAACCUCAUAUUAAGCAGCAGGUUCUGUUCCAGCAGUUCUGCACAUUCAAGCAGGUACGUUUUAACUGCUGAUUCCUAUUGAAAAAUGUACAAAUACAGCUUUCAGGAGAGGAUUACACAACAAGCUUCAACUUGUUCUGUUAAUUACUUUUUUUUCAAAGGUACAGCAGAAAAUUUCUGGCAUGGAAUCUUGGUGAACCAAAUCUGUGAGCCAUUAAGAAUGGAUUACAUUUACAUUUAUAACCUCAUUGAUUCAAAAUCUUUUUCCCUUUCUAAGUCAUGUCCAGCUUUUCAUCCUCAGGUCCUCUUUACAAAGAACAAAAUCCAGCAGCUCAAGACAGAUUCACUGCUAUACUCAACUGGAAAUGAAAGAAAUAAUGUAUUUCAGAUACUCUAUGGGAAUUUUCCCUGA